UGUCGUCAGCUCGUGUUGUGAAAUGUUGGGUUAAGUCCCGCAACGAGCGCAACCCUUAUCCUUUGUUGCCAGCGGUCCGGCCGGGAACUCAAAGGAGACUGCCAGUGAUAAACUGGAGGAAGGUGGGGAUGACGUCAAGUCAUCAUGGCCCUUACGACCAGGGCUACACACGUGCUACAAUGGCGCAUACAAAGAGAAGCGACCUCGCGAGAGCAAGCGGACCUCAUAAAGUGCGUCGUAGUCCGGAUUGGAGUCUGCAACUCGACUCCAUGAAGUCGGAAUCGCUAGUAAUCGUGGAUCAGAAUGCCACGGUGAAUACGUUCCCGGGCCUUGUACACACCGCCCGUCACACCAUGGGAGUGGGUUGCAAAAGAAGUAGGUAGCUUAACCUUCG
rnacentral:rRNA from 2 species